rnacentral:rRNA from 1 species
AUGAACUGCCCUUCUGCUACUCAAAGUGCAAAGAUACACCAUGGAAACAACAGCAAGAGCAACUGGACCAACAGCUUCAGAGUGAAAUUGGGCUCCAAUAGCUUGCAUCAAGUUCUAAAGAAGAAAGAGAACUUCGAACAUAGAGAUAGUAGUCCAGCCGAGCUCCAAAAUCAUUGGCUUAGUCUGCAGAUUCACCAACAAGUCUCCUUGCGCCUGAAGAAGUCCAUCCCUGCAACUGAAAUACUACAAGAACAAAUGAAGCAGAGUAUCUUGAACAGAGGAGAACCAAGAAGCAAAGAGCUAGUAACAAUGCACUGUGUGAAUCUUAAUACCAGGAAUUUGGAAAUUAGAAAGAAGGGAUACAACAUUGCAGGAAUUAGAAGAGUGAUUACGAGCAAAGCAACAAAUCUGAUAUUCGCUGUGAAAACCUGGUGA